rnacentral:rRNA from 1 species
UACGUAGGGGGCGAGCGUUAUCCGGAUUCACUGGGCGUAAAGGGAGCGCAGGCGGCACGGCAAGUCCGGUGUGAAAGCCCGGGGCCCAACCCCGGGACUGCACUGGAAACUGCCGGGCUGGAGUGUCGGAGGGGCAGGCGGAAUUCCUAGUGUAGCGGUGAAAUGCGUAGAUGUUAGGAGGAACACCGGUGGCGAAGGCGGCCUGCUGGACGACGACCGACGCUGAGGCUCGAAAGCGUGGGGAGCAAACAGG